rnacentral:lncRNA from 1 species
CUUCUCCAGGGGAUCUUCCCAACCCAGGGAUCAAACCAAGGUCUCCUGCACUACAGGCAGAUUCUCUACCAUCUGAGCUACAGGGAAGCUAUACAUAUAUUCAUCAAGCCCUUUCUGUGUGCAUUUUCUUAUACAAGCCUUACAAAAGCUAUCUAAGGUAGCAAUGAUCACAUCCACUCAACAAAUGAAAAAAUUAAGGCUCAGAGAAGUUAAGUAAUUUGUGCAAAGCCAAAUAUAAGGAUAGCAAUACACCUCACAUCCCGAUCAGAUUCUGUGGGGGAAUCAGUGAAUUGCUGUACACAGAAAGUACUUAGACUGGUGCCUGACACAGAGGAAAUGCUAAAUAAGGGUUUGUCUUUCUGAAGGCUGUUACUCCACGGCCUGCCACACCCUGCAGAGGGUGAAGCAGAAGCUGGGUGCAGGCGGCUGCCUCCUCCCUGUAGCAGGGAAGCCAGCCUUAACCCUCCACAGCCGUGGGCGGGGGCCACCCUCCCGAGCUGACACAGACG